GUUGCAAGCCGUCUUACCGCGCUGAUGUUCAAUCGUUGGUGAGGAAAGUCCGGGCAACGCAGAGCACCGUACUUCCUAACAGGAAGGUUCUGACUUUAUGGUUGGAAACAGAUAGUGCCACAGAAAAUAUACCGCCAUAACCAUUGUUGUUAUGGUAAGGGUGAAAUGGUGGGGUAAGGGCCCACCGCGUUAAUGGUGACAUUAACGGCAGGGAAAACCUUACGGGUUGAAAGACCAAAUAGGUCCGGCUUUUUCCGGCAACAUUGCCGGAAAAGAGAGUUGCUCGCUCAACACUGCCUUGGCAGUAAGCCGGAUGGGUAGGUCGAUUGAUCCCGGUAGUGAUGCCGGGACCAGAUAAAUGGUAAGAGCCUUUACCGCUGGUAGAGGAUACAAAACCCGGCUUACAGGCUUGCAUUUUUU
rnacentral:RNase_P_RNA from 1 species